rnacentral:rRNA from 1 species
UUGACCUCGAAUCAGGUAGGAAUACCCGCUGAACUUAAGCAUAUCAAUAAGCGGAGGAAAAGAAACCAACCGGGAUUACCUCAGUAACGGCGAGUGAAGCGGUAACAGCUCAAAUUUGAAAUCUGGCUCCUGCGGAGUCCGAGUUGUAAUUUGUAGAAGAUGCUUUGGGUUGUGGGUUCGGCCUAAGUUCCUUGGAACAGGACGUCAUAGAGGGUGAGAAUCCCGUAUGUGGCCGAGGCCCGCGCCUAUGUAAAGCUCUUUCAACGAGUCGAGUUGUUUGGGAAUGCAGCUCAAAAUGGGUGGUAAAUUUCAUCUAAAGCUAAAUAUGGGCCAGAGACCGAUAGCGCACAAGUAGAGUGAUCGAAAGAUGAAAAGCACUUUGGAAAGAGAGUUAAACAGUACGUGAAAUUGUUGAAAGGGAAGCGCUUGCAACCAGACUUGGGCGCUGCCGAUCACCCCGAGUUCUCUCUGGUGCACUCGACAGCGUACAGGCCAGCAUCGGUUCGGGUGGCUGGAUAAAGGCCGUAGGAACGUAGCUCCCUCCGGGGAGUGUUAUAGCCUACGGUGCCAUGCAGCCCAGCCGGACCGAGGACCGCGCCUUCGGGCUAGGAUGCUGGCGUAAUGGUUGUAAGCGACCCGUCUUGAAACACGGACCAAGGAGUCUAACAUCUAUGCGAGUGUUUGGGUGGCAAACCCAUACGCGGAAUGAAAGUGAACGUAGGUGAGAACCCCUUUGGGGCGCAUCAUCGACCGAUCCUGAUGUCUUCGGAUGGAUUUGAGUAAGAGCAUAGCUGUUGGGAC